UAGGGAACCUUCCACAAUGGGCGAAAGCCUGAUGGAGCAACGCCGCGUGUGUGAUGAAGGGUUUCGGCUCGUAAAACACUGUUGUAAGAGAAGAAUGACAUUGAGAGUAACUGUUCAAUGUGUGACGGUAUCUUACCAGAAAGGAACGGCUAAAUACGUGCCAG
rnacentral:rRNA from 1 species